rnacentral:rRNA from 1 species
UACGGAGGGUGCAAGCGUUGUCCGGAUUCACUGGGUGUAAAGGGUGUGUAGGUGGAAUGGCAAGUCAGGGGUGAAAGCCUACAGCUUAACUGUAGAACUGCCUUUGAUACUGUUGUUCUUGAGUACUGGAGAAGUCACUGGAAUUCGUGGUGUAGCGGUGAAAUGCGUAGAUAUCACGAGGAACACCUGACGCGUAGGCUGGUGACUAGUCAGAUACUGACACUGAGGCACGAAAGCUUGGGGAGCACACAGG